CUGUCCGCCUCCUGAAGCUCUUCCCUCUUCUCCAUCUCACACGUCUCCAUCACCCCUCCUCGGGACUAUUCCAGGUGCCCAGGCCAAAGCCUACCAGGGGGCCAGAGAGAAGUGGAAGACUGGAAGUUCUGGCAAGUUCUACCUGGAAGCAGGGGCCAAGAAGCACCUACCCAUGGGGGCCAGUGUCUGGCAGGUCCUUGGAGGCUGCUGUGUUCUCACGCCUCACCACCAGGCCCCAAGACUGCUGUAGAUUCUCACUGUUGGAGUUCACCUUCGGUUUUCCACUUCUCUCAACUUGUGAAGCCAGGACAGAAUAUCACCUUUCAGGAGGCGUGCUGCCUCAUUUGGCGCUGUUAAGAUAAGAGAAGCAAAAACUUAAUUGAUGGAGAGUGACAAGAACUCAGUCCCAUGCCACCCCUAAAAUGAAAAGGCACAUGAGGCUGGAAAAUGCAGCCUAACUGCGCGUCCAGGGGAAAGAGGAUCCAGGUGUGGUUAGUAGCUGUCCAAAACCUUCCCAGCAUGUAUAAAGAAUAUACAGAAGCUCGAAUGACUGUUGAGGGAAUAGAAGAUGGAACUUGAGAGGUGGGUUGUGCCAUUUACUGAUACGGGGAAGACUGGAGAAGGAGAAGGGGACAGAAAUGAAAGACUCUCAACUAGACAUCACGUUUACAAUGCCUAUCAGCCAGCCAAGUGAAGAAAUUAAGUGGACAAUUGGAGACGGGAAGCUCAUGGCGGGAGGAAAGGAGAGAUUGGGGCUGGAGAUGUAAAAUUUGGAGUUAUCAGGGUGUUGGUAUAUGAAACCAAGAGACUUCAUGAGACCACCUAAUCUCAGUAGAGAAGAGAA
rnacentral:lncRNA from 1 species